UAACGAUGAUAUUGUACGAGGUUCUAAGGCUGUACCCACCGGUGGUUGAGCUAGGACGUUCCGUUCCAAAAGAAAUAAAACUGGGGAAUUUGUUGUUACCAGUAGGAACAGAAGUUUCGGUUCCGAUCCUGCAGAUCCACCAUGACAAAGAUCUUUGGGGUAACGACGCACGGGAAUUUAAGCCAGAGCGGUUCGCGGAAGGGGUUUCCAAAGCAACAAAGAGUCAAGUCACGUUUCUGCCAUUCGGAUGGGGUCCUAGGAUCUGUAUUGGCCAAAAUUUUGCUUUGAUGGAAGCCAAAAUGGCGAUGGCUAUGAUUCUCCAACGCUUCUGGUUCGAGCUUUCCCCUUCCUAUGCUCACUCUCCUUACAGCAGGGGAACUCUUCGUCCACAGCAUGGUGCACAGAUAAUUUUACAUAAACUUGGCUGUAAUUGAAUUGUUAUGUAAACAAAUCUUUGUGAAAACAUAGCGUUUUAGUGUAUCGUCAAAGUCCGGUGUCUGUAAUGGUACAAAUUCGAUGCAUGAAUAGUAAAUUUUGAGAUGUUUGGUGAAGUCCGAAAUAAUAUGCAGAAAUUGAGCGUCUAUGGUGGACAUAGUUGAGGGACUAAUGUGGUAAUUAUCAAUCAAAUAAUUCGGUACAAAGACUUGUAUGGAAAUUAAAGCAGGGGGAGUUGAAAAUGACUACUCUGCUUUGGGCAUCAAUUUAGAAAGAUUUAAAGUACAACUGUGUUAUCAGUUAAGGGAUUUGUUUUAAAGAGGGAAUGACAAUUAAACCUCAUGGUUUAUUUGUGCAAGGGAACCGAUGAUGGGAUGAUUAUUCUUAGUGGUAAAAAAAACCAUUAUGGAGGUUAUUACACUUGUUAUCAUCAGCUUAAAAUUCGAAUGGGUUCAAGUCGGAUUAUAUCGAGCUUGUAAGAUGAGUUCACGGACCAAGUUUGCAUAAUAAAAUACCUAAAUGAAAAAAAAUUCUAUUUUAGAGGGACGAGAGCCCCUAUCAACUCCCGGCUCAGCCACUAAACAAUACCUAUAUCAUAUAAAUAAAUACCACCAUCUAAAAGACUCAAAGAAAAACACUCAACAAAGGAUAAAUAGAUAGAUGUUGGAUAAGUGUCCAAAAUAUGAUUUAAGUGAAGAUACAUGUGGUAGGUGUUACGGAAAUGUGAAGACAAGAAUCCCACUAACGUAUGGGAUGUGUGCAGUUGAAUGUAGGGAGCAAAAAGAGGAGUGAAUCAUUUUGGUAACAUUUGGACAAGAAACAUAAUGAACAAAAUGGAAGGAGAGGAAGCUAGUAAAAGAAUUUUUUUGGGUCAUAUAAUUUGUUCAUUUUGGAGUUGAAUUAUAAUUUUUUUAUAUAUUAUUUUAAAAUUUUAAGGAGUUAAAACAAAAUUAUUUUAUUUUCAGAUGGUCAAAGUAGAGGUGAUAAUGGGUUGGGCUAUUCGGCCCGGCCUGACGAUUCACUCGAAAAAUAGGAGGGUUUAGGUAAAAAUAUAGGCUCGAAAUAGGGAUUUGAGCAAAAAAAGAGUCCCGUUUAGAAAAUGGGCCAGGCCUCGGGUAAAAUUUUUUGGGCCCAAGCCUGACCUGAAUUAUAUAUUAAAUAUAUUUUUUAAUUUUUAAUCAAAUAUACUUUUUUUUAUUAAUUUGGUUAUUAUUUUAGUUCUAAUUUGUUUCAAUUUUAAUAUAACCACUUUUUAUUAUAUUUUCAAUUUGUGUAUUGUUUUAAGAAUUGUUUUAGUCUCAUUUUUUUAUUUAUUUUUUGUUUUAAUAAUUGUUUUAAAAAUUUUUAUUUAAUGAAAUAAGCUAAAAAAAUUAAUAUGGGCUUGGCCAGGCCAGGCUCGGGCCUAGUAAUUUUCUUUUGGGCCGGACUUAGAUAAAAUUUUAAGCCCAUAUUUUAAAUUGGGUCCUAACCUAAAAAAUGAACCUAAAAUUUUAUAUGGGCCCGACUUGGCCCUUGAUUACCUUUAGGUCAGAGCUAUCCUCGUUUUGCAUUUCUUUGAGAUUCAGCCUUAUCUACUGUGAUUGCCCACUCAAUUGAGGGUUGAGUAGAAAGAUUUGGUGAAGCAAGCUAAGCUAUCAAUCAAGGUUUGCAUAAUUAUUUAAAUGUAAUUCUAAUAUUAAAAUAAUUUUUUUAUUAAUAUAGUAUCAACAAGCAUUAAAUGUAAUGAUCAUAUACUAUUACAUUUUAAAGAAGAGAAAACAUGUUUGAACUUUAAAAACCACGUUACUAAAAACAUUAUCACAAACCUUGAAAUAUAAAAAAUAAUUUUUUUAAUAUAAUAAAAAAUUAAUUUUAAACCCGAGCUGAAUAAAAUUCUAAUUUUAGUUAAUGAUACGAACAACAAAUCAAUAUUCUAAGCCCGAGCCCUGCUCAUUUUUUUAAUAAACACCAAAAAUUUAUUUUGAAAAUAAAAAAUAAAAAAAAUAUUUUAAAAAUAUUUUAAAAAUAAAAAAAAUUAAAAAUAAAUAUUUAUUAUAUAUUCAGGCCGGGCCGGGCUAGCCUUGGGCUAAAAAAAUGGUGCCCGAGGCCCGGCCCAUUUUCUAAAUAGGCCUCAUUUUUUGUCCAAACCCAUAUUUUGGGCCUAUAUUUUUACCCGAACCUCUCAUAUUUUGGGCGGACCGUCGGGCCGGACCGGGCCGCCCGGCCAUGAACACCUCUAGGGCAAAGUCACUCAAUGAAUGCAUGGAAAGAAAUAUUGCAACUUGGUGACAGCUUUUGUUGGAGUUAUAUGCUUUUUUUUACAUAGUGGAACUUUCGGUGGAUUUUCAAGUUUCAUGAACUUUAUACCCUAGGCUUUACGUGAAAAAAAUCAUUGGACUUAAAAGUCUACCAAAAGUUUCACUAUAAUAAAUAAAUAAAUAAAUAACAUUGCUACAAGACUACAACAUAAAGUUACAAUAAGAGCUUAUAACUCAACAAAGGCUAUCAAUAAAUAAUCUCAAGCAAGCUAAAGAGAAAUGUUGAGAGUACCACUCAAAUAGUGAUUGACUUUAAAAAUUGAAAACCCGAAGUUAUUGUUGACACCAUUUUUUGGAUGAAAAUGUGUCGACUUGGGUUUUGAAAAUGAAAACGAAAACGAGAGUCGCCACCAAUCCUUUUUGAUAAGGUGUGACUGGGUCACCUUGAAAAGUGGUUGUUUUUAAUAAACGAUUUGAUUUUAUUAAAACAACAGUUUUGGUCCACGAAAUUCAGAAAAAUGAGUUCGGGAGUCGGUUACGCACGAGGAAGGAUUAGCACCCUCGAUACGCCCAAAAUUGGUACCUAGUUGAUUACUUAAUGUCUUAAUGUCGAAAAUUGAAAACUUUGGAGAAUUUUAAACAUACGAUCCUUGUAUUAAAACGUUAAAAAUUUUCAAGAAAAUGGGAUAUUUCACGUUAUUCGAUAAAGAGAAUCAUAUCCUAGUAAGUUAGGACACAAUAUCUCGAAUUUCCGAUAUCAUUUAAAACUUGAGUUUGAAAAGAUUCGUGUAAUAAAGUUUAAAAUAAUAUUCAAUUGUUUAAAUCAAAUGAAGAAAUCGCAACCCAAUACGUUAGGGCACAAUUUCUCAAAAUAUUAAACAUUGAAUAUUGCAUUUAUUUCGAAAAAUCCUCAUCUCGAGAAAACGUGUCACAUCCAAUGCAUUAGAAUACAACGUAUUGAAUUCUCGAUAACGAGCUUUUUCUCAUUUUUUAAAAGAGUAAUCUCGAUUAUUUAGGUUCAACGAAGAAAAUCAAAACCCAAUACGUUAGGGCUCGAUUUUCUCAAAGAUUCCAAAUACCGAGUAUUACUUAUAUUUUUAAAAUUUCUUUUUUGAAAUCCGAGUAAAAAUGAAUGCAAAAUAAUAAAUGAUGACAAUGUAAAUAAAAUGAUACAAGCAAAACAAUAAACAAUAAAAAUAAUCAUACGGGCAAGGUAACAAAUAAUUAGGAACUAAAGAAAGAGAACAAACAAUAAUAAACAUGCAAAUAAAUGAACAAAAUUAACAACAUGAUGCAAAUAUGAAAGAUAUAUAAGCACAUAUAUAUACAUAAAAUAAUGAGAAUAUGAAAAAAUGUGUGUAAUUGGACAUGUUUCGGAAUUAUUAUACAUUUAAAAAUCAUGUAAAUGUGUGUACAUACAUAUAUACAUAUAUAAUAAUCAUUAAAUAUAUAAAAAUACAUAUGUGUAGGUAUAUAUGAGUCAUAAAAUGUAAAGAAUAUAUACAAGAUAUAUUUUGAACGUAUAAAGUAUAUGUAAAUGUAUAUAUAUAAUAAAGGUGUAUGAAAGCAUAUUUUAUAUACGUGUAUUUAUAAAAUGUAUAUAAAUGUAUAUUGAUUUACCAAUACAUAUGGAUUUAUAAUUAUAGAAUAUAUAUAAAAUAUUUACAUAUAUACGUUUAUGCAUAUAUAAAAGUAAGUUAUUAUAAAAUAUGAGCAAGCAGAAUACAUAAAUAUAUAUACAUAAAAUAAAAAUGAAGAUGAAAAUAAUAUAAAACUACUUAAUAUAUUAAUAUAAUAGUAACAAAUUAAAAAAACAGAAAAUAAAGCUAAUAAUAAUUAAUAAUAGUAGUAAUAAUUAUAGCAGCAAUGAUAAUGAUAAUAAUAAUAACACUAAAAAAAUUAAUUAAAUAAUAAAAUUGCUAAAAAGGGAUUAAAUCGAAAUAAAAACAUAAAUACUGGGCGAUUUUGAAAUAAAAAACGGGAAGGACCGAAUUGCAACGCGCGUUGAAAAGGAAAGGGCCAAAACUGCAAAUAAACCACAGCCCCAAAACGCAGCGUUGAAAUGGACCAAGUCGAAAUAAAAAUAAAAUUGCAGGGGCUAAAUUAAAAAUAAGAGAAAAUAACGAAAAAUGAUCAAAUUGUAAUACGCUGCAAAAUCAGGGGGACUGCACGCGCAAAUAGCCCAAAAACUGAAAACACGCGGAUCCUCCGGGUCGGGUCGGGUCGGGUCAGGUCGACGUGCGGAUCCCCUUUGCUAAAACGGCGUCGUUUCAUGUUUAAUAUAAAUACUAAAAAAAGCUAAAAAAAACAGUUUCAUCUUUUUUUAAAAAAAACAGAGAGAAAACUCUCUCUUUUUCCCUCAGGUCCGGCCAUGGUCCGGCUUGGGAUUUCCGACGAGUCUCCGCCGCAAAGCCACCGUGUGUGGCGGCCGGAGGUUCAAAAUCAGACCUUUUUGGUCCUUUUUUAAAGUCCAUGGCCUCCAAGCCACAGAUCCGGGGCUGAAUCUCCUGAAUCGAAAGCCGAAGACCCAAAAAAUGGGGUGAAAUCCUUCGCCUUCCUCCCCCUUCCGGCGCUGCGCAGGUAAGGUUUUUUUUAACUCCUUUUUUACUAUCUUUAUUUAUAUAUAUACAUGAAGAGAAAAGAGAGCAAAAUAAAUAAAUAAAUAAAAACUUCAAAACUGAAGAGAAAAAGACCUUGAAUCUGCCUUAUUUAUUUUCUUUCGGUUGAAUCUGUUUUUGUUUGUUACAAAAGUUUCCAGGGAAGAGAAAAAAAAAGAGAGUUACAUGCUUGGCUUUUAUAGCCGAUAUUAAUUUCUAUUUUUUGUUUUCUUUUUCCUUUCUUUUCUUUGGCUGUUGCGUGUUUGCUUCCUUAUUGCAGGGUGAUUGACGGGAGUGGUUGGCGACAGAGUCGGUGGCCACUUGCACUGAUGAAGCAGCGGUGGCGGCGCUAGGGUAGGCUAGGGACGGCGGCAGUACUAGGGUUUCAGAAAACUGAAACCCUAGUUUGACAAAUUGGUUUCGGGCCUGUUGGGCUUUAAAUUAUGGGCUUUGUAAUUGGGUUUUGGGUUUAGGUGAUUUGGGUUUAGGUGGUAUGGGCCCGGGUCAAAUUUUGGGUAAUGGGAUUGGGGCAAAAUUGGGUUGUACAGUUAUAAUAUCCCAAACGAAAUCAAACUAUAAACAUUAAAUUUUUCGAGUCUUCUAGAUACUGUAAAAAAUUCAGCUCCAACGGACACCAAAUGAACCUAUGAUCGAAGAAAAUACGAAGACUAGUCUGGCUAAAUCAAUCUGCCAAACUUACUUUUUAUCUUAUCUUUAAUUUGCUGUGAAAUUCAAAACUACGUGUAAUACUCAAUUUAUGCUCGACCCAUUUUGUUAAAACAAAUAAAAAAGAAAAGAAAAACAAAAUAUUUAAAUUUAGCCCAAAUGUCCAUUUACACAGCCCAAUUACAAUUGCAAAUAAAAAAAACUAAAACUAAACCCGAUCCUAAGCAUCAGCCCAAAUUCGACCCAUGCCCAAAACGAAUUCAGAUGCAGAAACCCUAGCCCAGCCUUAAUGCAAGCAAAAGUCGAAAGCCCUAAUAGUUGGUGCGCCGCUCCUGUAACAGCCCGAUUUUGGGCCUAGUCGGAACAGUGGUUUUGGGACCACAAAUCCGACGAGAAAAAAAUGUAAUGGCCCGAAUUUUCAGAGGUGUCAGAACGGUGAUUCGAGAUCACUAAAUUCGACAAAUGGGUAGAAAAUAUUAUUAAUUUAGUAAGUAUAAGUUAAAUGUGAAGUUAGGAAAAUUUUUGAAAUGGUGAAUAGUACACUAGAAAUAAAUAUUAAAAUAAUUAGAAUCGAAAAUGAGGUAUCGAGACCUCGGGGAUUUUAAACCGAGCCAUAAAUAUUUUUAUAAAUAUUUAUGUAGUCUUAAAAAGUUAGUAUUAAAGUUUCGUUAAGAAAUUUUAAAGUUCCGAUAAUUAAUUGAACAAAAAGGACUAAAUUGUAACAAAUACAAAAUUAUGAGAAAUGAUUAAAUAGUUUAAAUGAUAAAAGGAAGAGGGCUUAAAAGGUAAAUAGACCCAAGGUCUAUUUGGGCUGCACGGCAAAGGCAUGAAAUCAGCAACAAAGUAAGGAGAAUUAAGGGCAAAAUUGGAAUAUUGCAAAAUUUACUUAAUAAAGUUAGGACCAAAGUGGAAUUAUCUAGAUUUCUCUUUAUUUUUCUGCAUUAUCAUCAGCAUAAACACCAUAGAAGGGUUUUCUUAAGCUGGUUCUUCCUAUUUUUACUGCAGGUAAGUUCAAUUCUUGAUUAUUUCUUGAAAAUUUUGUGUUUUUGUGACUUUUACAACUAGGCCCACUUAUUGUAUUCAUUAGUUUUUGAUUCUAUGAAAGAAGUUGAAAGUUGCUAUGAAUACAUGCUGGAAGUAUAUGAUGAUUUAGCAUGGAAUUAGAGCUUUAAAUUGUUCAUAUGCUGAUUUAUUGAAAGAAUUGAAUAGAAAGUGAAUGUUUGGGACCUAAUAGUAAAAGAGUUUGAAGAUAGAGUUAUAUGUGGAAAUUCUGAAUUUCAAUAGUUGUGAAACAACUUAUAAUGUCUAGGUUAAGUAUUAAUUGAGAAAAUUAAAUUAAUUGAGGGGUUAAUUGAGAAAGGACCGAAUUGUAUAAACUGUGAAAUUUGGGGCAAAAAGGAAAUCAACAUUUUACACUAAAGCAGUUUUGGACAGCAGCAGUAGUAUAACUUUGAAAAAUCACCAAAAAUUUUGAGAAUUGAAUUAGAGGGUGAAUAAAAUAUAAAAUUAAAGCUCCUUGAAUCUAGUUUCUCAUAGAAGAAACGGUGUAAGCAAUGGAAUUGUAAAUCAUGAGAUAUAAUAAAUUUUGUGAGACAAUGUCAUAAUGAUUUCGGGUUCCCCUAUUCUGACUUUGGAAAAUCAUCAAAAAAUUAAGAAAAAUAUGAGUUAUAAUUUAUAUGAUUACAAUCCUUAAUGAGUCUAUUUUCAAAGAAAAUAAACGGAAAUAUCAUCCAAAUUCUGUACAAUUAUAUAAUUCAUUUUUAGUGAAGAGUGGUCGAAACUGUCAGACAGCGAAAUAGGGGGAACUUUAAAGAAUAAACUGUACUAUUUGGCUGAACCAAAAAUUCUGAAAAUUUUAUGGUAAGAAGGUAUGUGAGUCUAGUUUUAAGGAAAAUUAACGGAUCUUAAUUUAGAGCUCUGUAGCUCUAGAUAAAAAUAAUUUAGUGACUCUGACUCAGAUAAAUAGCUUUGAAUGUACAUGUGAGUGAAUAGUGAAAUUAUAGCUAGUGUUGUUUAAGUGUGUUAUACACAUUAAGGAUAUGGAAUGGAGAGGAGGAGGAGGAGGAAAAAUUGGGAAAUAUAUGAAUGAUUUGUGUAUAAUUGGUCAUAUGCUUAAUUAUAAUUGAUAAACGAUGAAAUAGAAAUGAUGCAUAUAUUUGUGCAGUAUUGGUCAUGGUUUAAGCUCAUGUGGGAAAAUAAAGUUUAUAGUACGUGUGUAUUAUAUUUUUGGUAUAUGAUUUGGCAUUAAGUAAUGUCGUGAAUGGAUAUUGAAUUAACACAUGUUGGAAAGUUUGAUAUAUGAAUAAAUAUUGUGAUCAUGAAAGAGUGUUACAGCUCCUGCCUUCAGCACGCGUCGAGCCUCCGCGCCAAAUCCACGUGAGCCUCCGUACACUCCAACUAGCCUCCGUACCUGCAACAAACAAAAGUAGACAAAACAACAGCAAAGGAUAGGAAGAAAAGGCAGUAAAUAGUGAAGAUUUUUCUGUAAUUUUCUUUGGAUUUCAUUAUGUAUUUUCGGCUAUAAAAGAGCCAUUAGGAAUAUUUGUAAAGGGUUUUUUUUUUACCCUCACACACAAAGAGAAUAUACACGCAUACAAGAUCAAUAUAGAGAAAGAAAUAAAAAUAAAUAAAUACAAAGAAUAGAAAAUCAAGUUUCGAAGGUGAUUCUUUGAAAAAUCCUUUUCGUUUUUCUCAUUUUUCCUUUUUCCUGGAUCUUUUGUUCAUUUCAAGUAAAAAAAGUAUAGAAAGGAAACAAGUUUAGAGGAAGGAGGUUUACCUGGACGCCGGACCUCGCUCGCCUCGUCGAAAUCGAAGGCUGAGAGGGGAUAAAUCGGUUUUGCGGCAGAAGGAAAGGGGGGCUAGGGUUCUUGUUUUAACUUUUUUAAAAAAAAUAGAAAAGGUUGCUAAUUAGGUUUUAAUGGGGGAUUUAUGUGUGUUAAAAAAACGACGUCGUUUAGCGACCUUUGACCCGUGCGGUGACCCGACCCGAGGAAAGGAUCUGCGCGUUUUGGGUCUGAUGGGUUUAUUGCGCAACAAGCCCUUCCGCAUUUGUUUUUCGUUUCAAUUCGGUUUUUAUUUGUUUUUUAAUUGUUUUCUCAUAUUUAGUUCCAAUUUCAAUUGGGUCCAUGAUUAAACGACAUCGUUUUCAUUGAUUGGGUUUGAAGGCCUGGUUUUGUGCGUCUAAAUUGCAGCAAUGGUCCCCCUGAUGUGCAAUAGUUCUCGAUUUAGUCGUCUCCACACUUAUUUCAAAGUCGUCCUUGAGAUUUUGUUUUAUUUUUGAAAUUGUCCUUGUCUUCUUUUAAUUUAUAAUGAUAUUAUUAUUAUUGUUGUUGUUAUUAUUACUAUUAAUAUGGGUAUUGUUAUCAUGUUAGUUUAUAUCUAUUUAUUUACUUUUAUUUUAUUAUGUAUUAUUAUAUAAUGCUUUUAUCAUGUAUCAUUUUAUAUAUUUUCUAUGUUAAUCUAAUAUGAUAUAUAUAUAUAUAUGUAUUUUUGUGAUCUUAUUUUAUAAUACUUUUUUAACCCAUUUAUAUGCCUUUAUGUUUUAAAGAUUUAUAAUAUUUUGUGCAAAACUAUUAUAUAUAUAUAUAGAUAUACAAUUUAUAUUAGACCAUUUUUAUCGUACAUAUACGUAUAUAUAAUUUAUAUUUUGAAACUCUAUUUUAUUAUAUUUUAUGCCUCUAUAUACAUCAUUAUAUGUUUAUUAUUCUUUAUAUUAAACCUGCCAUUUCACUUAUAUAUUUUUAAAACCAAUGUGUAUUAUUCUUUCUUCUUUGUUAUUUUUUAUCUCUUAAAAUAGAUUGAUAAUUCAUUUAAUUUUUGAAUGUUGUAUGACCGAGAUUAUCGUUGCCAUUCUUGUCCAAAUUUAUCCAUUGCUUGUUCAUAUUAUUUGAUAAUUUAUCGCUCACUAGCAUGUAUCGUAAUUUACGAAUUAUCAUUUUGAAUUAUGUACUACCAUUCAAUCGCAUUACAUUUGUUUGGAAAACAUCGAAAUCGUUUUGCACAUAAACCUUCAAAAUGCUUGGUAUCCAAAAUUCUCGAGAGGAUUGUGCCCUAAUUUAUUGGGCUUCAAUUCCCCUUUUUGAUUUUAAAUAACCGAAUACCCCUUUUUCAAUUUGAACAUAGAAAUUCCAAAAUAAAAAAAAACUCAUUCUCGGGAAUUUGAUGCGUUGUGUCCUAACGUAUUGUAUAUGACAUAUUUUUCUCGAGACGAGGAUUUUUCUAACAAAUAAAAAUAAAGGCAAUAUUCGAUAUUUAGGAAUUUUGUGAAAUCGAACCCUAACUUACUGGGUUUUGAUUUUUUCAUUUGACCCAAGUAGGAUAUCCUUCACAAAUGCACAGAUUUUAAAAAAUCAAAAGAUAAACUUAAUUUCGAGGAUUUAAAAUGUUACACUCUGACUUACUGAGUGUGUCAAUUUAUUUCUUUGAAAUAAGUGAGUCUUAUCAUCCAAUUUAUUUUAUUCAAAUUUUCUUUUCCAAGGAUCGUAUUUUAAAAUUUUUUCAAAAUUUCGACAUUAAGACAUUAAGCAAUCAAUUCAGUACCAAUUUUGGGCGUCACGAGGGUGCUAACUCUUCCUCGUGCGUAAUCGACUCCCGAACCAGUUUUCUCAAAAUUCACAGACCUAAAAUUAUUUUCAAGGUGAUCCGAUCACACCACAAUAAAAGAUCAGUGGUGACUCCCAUUCCUAUUUUUAAAAGUCGAUUCCUGUUUUUCAUAUAUAAAAAAAUGGUUUCGACACUACGGUUUUGUUUGUUUCCCUUAGAACAACUUUCAAAAAGUUAAUUUUGAAAAAUGGAUUGAAUUUUCAAAAUAGAUGAUAUUUUUUUGUGUUAAAAUUUUAUUCGUUGUUUGAAAAAAAAAUUUAAAUCAUUUUCUUAGAAUUAUUUUUAGUGAAACAAAUAUAUCAUAAAUAUAUUUGUUAUAAAAUAUUAUAUUAAUAUUUUCUUUUAACAAUUAAAAUAUAUUUUGUGAUAAGGUAAUAUUUUAUAAUAAUUAAUAUCAUAUAUACUUAAUAAUAAAUCAUGUCUAAUUAAAAUUUAAUUUCAAUUAAAUAUAUUAAUAAAGCUACAUUUAAUCAUAUUUUAUAUAAUUAAAAUAUUAAUAUAAAUAUUUUUCAAUAAUAUAUUAAAGAAUAUUUAAAAUUUAAAUUUAUUAUUACUAAGAUUAAUUAUUAAAACAAAAAUGUAAUAUUAAAUAAUUUAUCCAAUGAUAAGUUAUAUUAAUAAUUUAUUAUAUUAUUAAAUAUAAAUAAUUAAAUAUGUAUGUUUAAUAAUAUUAUGUUAUAAUAUUUAUUACUAAUAUUUUAAUAUUUUUAAACAACCAUGUUUUAAAGAUGGUGGUGAUGGUGAUGGUGCAGGCCCCCUUGUUAAAAUUACAAUAUUUUUAAGUGGGAUGCAUGUAAUAUAUUGUUAGGGUUUUAGAGUAUGUGGUCUUUAAAAGGGUUAAAUUAUAUAUUUAUAUAAUAUGAUUAUUGUUUAUAAACAUAAUAUUGUAGAUAAGUUUAUAUGUAUGUCAAUAUGUAUCCUACUCUAAGGUUAAUAUGUAUUUUUUAGAUGUGGGUUUACCUAUAUAAUAGUAUGAAUCCAUCAUGUGGUCUCAUGAAAUAUACAAACACAUAUCGUGCGAACACAAAGUACGAACAAUAAAAAAUACAAAUCAAGACCCAAUUGAAUAAUUGAAUAACGGAUAGGUAAUAAUGAAUAUCAUAACAUUUACUAUCCCCUCUUUUCUAGUGAGUUAUUGUUUAUGAUAAAUUUGCAACAAAUGUUUUUAUCAUUAUUUUGUUGGUAAAUGAUAAUAAGAUUAAACAUUACUUUCUUAAGCUCCUUCAAUUCUUUGGACGUUAGCGAGUAAACUUGAGCUUCAGCAUUCCACAAACACCUUAAUUUGAAGACACAGUUCUCUCAUACUAAAAACGACAUGGACGUUUACCUUGUAAUUAGAGAUUUGGGCUCAUUGUUGGGUUAUUAAUGAUACGGGGAUGGAGAGCUUUAAACUGGGUAUGGUUGGCCCCAAAGAGGCUCGAAACGUGCUUGAGACUAGAGGUGAUCAAGGGCCGGGUUAGGCCCAGUCUAGAAAAAAAAUUAGGCCCAUUUUUUAGAUUUGAACUCGGCUCGGCUCAAAAUAUAAGCUUAAAAAUUUGUCUAAGUUCAGUCCGAAAGAAAAUUGUUAAGCCCAAGCUCGACCCAUAUUAAAUUUUACAACACCAAAAAAGUAUAUUUAAAUAAAAAUAAAAUAUAUAUAUUUAAUAUAUAAUUCGGGCCGAGCUGAACUCGGGCCAAAAAAGUUUUACUCGGGGCUGGUCCGUUUUCUAAACAGACUUCGUUUUUUUUGCCAAAAUCCAUAUUUUUACCCGAAUCUUCCUAUUUUUUGGGGUGUGCCGUCGGGCCGAACUGGGUAACCGAACCAAUGAUCACCUCUGUAAUCACUGAAUUUUGUCCGGGAAUAACUUUCGUUAAAAAAAUUUUAAAAUUAAAAAAAAAUUAACUUUUUUGCUUUUUGACCCCUAAACUUUUCUAAAAUUUCAUUUUAACCCCUAAACUUUCUCAAAAUUACAGUUCAACCCCUAAACUUUUCUAAAUUACAUUUUGACCCCUAAAAUUUCUUAAAAUUACAUUUGGACCCUUACACUUUCUCAAAAUUACGUUUCGGCCCCAAAAUUUUUGCUACAUUUACAAAUUGGUCCUUCUGUCAGAAAAUCCCCAAUAAUCCGGCGGAUUUCGUGCACCUGCCCCACUAUUUCCGGCAGCCGGCCUAGGGCAUGGCCUUCCCCACCUGCUACCUGCAAACAAGAAGCAAAAUCAACUAUAAAAAGGAGUUUAAACUCCAAAAAUCGGACCCCCACCCACGAAAAAAAUAAAAAAAAAAAACUUGAAAGAAAAAGAAAAAAGCUUUGAGAAAGAAAAAGAAAAGGAAAAGAAGAGAGGGGAGAAGGAGAGGCCGACCAUCGGCGAGCCACCGGAGGAGGCGACGGCAGCAGCGGCAUCGACGGCGGCGUAGAAGACCGAACGGAGAAGAAGAAGAAGAAGAAAAAAAAAGAAAGAAGAGAAAGAAAGAAGGAAGAAGAAGAAGAAAGAAACAAAAAAAAAAGAAAAUAUUUUGUAAUAGUCGGCCCGGCCCGACUCGACCUGCACGACCCGUGACCCGACCCGACAGCACCAGCAACCUAGCAGGCCACGGUAGCAGCCCGGCGGCCCAAAGAGUAGCCCAAAAAGAAAAAAAGAAGAAGAACAAAGCAAAAAAAAAAAGCAGGCCAUUUUCAGCAGGCCCAGUGCAGCCCAGCAGACCCAGCGAACCCAGCAGGCCAGGCCCACACGCAAGCAGCCCAACAGAAAAAAAGGGAAAGAAAAAGAAAAGAAAAAAGAAAAAAGAAAAAAGAAGAAGAAGGGGUUCAAUUUGUAUUAUCCGUUCGGCGAAGCUCGUGUUUUGAGGAUUUUUUUUCGGUAAUUUUAUUUUUUAAUUUUAAUUUAAUGCUCGUAUUUUUUUUAAAUAUUAUUAGUAUUUUAUGCAUUUUUAUAUUUUGGCAUUUAUAUUUUUAAUUUAAUUUACUUCAAUUUUUAUUUUAUUUUAUUUUAAAUAAUUUUAAUAAAUGAGGCAACGAAUCGAUUUAACAUAAAAUCGUUGAUUUCAUUGCUAUGUUGGGUGAAUAUCAUCGGUUUGUGUUAAACACGAUACACCCUUUUUAAAAAAAAGAAAAAAAUCGAAAAAAUUCUAAAAUUCUCAUUUUUUUAAAAUUCUCGUGUUUUAAUAGAAUCACGAUUAAAUAUUAAGUUGAAUCGAUUUGGCACUAAUUCGAUGAUUUCAUCUCCAUGUAGGGAUGAAUAUCAUUUAUUCGUGUUAAAUAUGGUACUUCUGAAAAAAAAUCGGGUUUCAAAAAUUUUCGUGUUUUCAAAAAUUCUCAUGUUUCAAAAAUCUUCGUGUUUUAAAAAUUCCAGUGUUUCAAAAAUUUUCGUGUUUUCAAAAAAAAAUUUCUCGUGUUUUUAAAAAUUCCCGUAUAUCGAAAUUUUCUUGUUUUCAAAAAAAAAAUUCCAUGUUUCAUAAAUUUCCGUGUUUUCAAAAAAAAAUUCUUGUUUUUCAAAAAUUUUCGUUUUUAAAAAAUUUGACCGUGUUUCAUAAAUUUUCGUAUUUCAAAAAAACCUCGUGUUUCAAAAUUUUCGGGUUUUUUUAAAAACAAUUCGUGUUUCUAAAAUUCUCGUAUUUUAAAAAAAAUCGUGUUUUCAAAAAAAGAAAAAGUUGUUGUGCUUUAAAAUUAUCGUGUUUCAAUCGGAUCACGAUUAAUAUUAAAUUGAACUCGUAUUUUUGAAAAUGAAAACAACGCGCGUUUAACGAGAUACCAAUUUUGGGCGUCGCGAGGGUGCUAAUACCUUCCUCGCGCGUAACCGACUCCCGAACCUUAAUUUUCUCUGAAUUUUUACGUGGACCUAAAAUUACCUCUUUUUAGAAAAGUUUAAAAAUGAAUUUUUCUUCUAAAAAGAGAAUUUUGUAGGUGUCCGAUCACACCUAAAAAAAGAUCGGUGGCGACUCCUUUUUUUCAAAUAAAAUCGAGAUUCAGUUUUCAAGUUUUUAAUAAUUACUUCGACAAGCGCCCGUGCGCAAAAUUUUUAAGUCGCUACAGCCUCUACUUGAGACAACAGGGUUUUGCAGGGAAUUCUUACAGGUUCGUUUCUGGCGACAAAAAAGAGCUCUUCACUAUAAGCAUACAAACAAGAGCCAAAACUAUGCCUCUUAGUGAUGAUAUUAGGCCUUAUGUUAUUCCUUUUCAACAUCAAACCGUCAACCGGUAUGGUAUGUUUUUUUUAUUUAAUCUGCAAUUUGUGAUAAUUCUUUGUUAUUUAUGUAUGGAAUUUAUUGGGAGGAAAUGCUGGAAAGAAUUCAUUUACGAGAAUUGGUCCAAGAUCAAGGGUGAACAUUACGGACCCUGAAAAAUAAGAGAAAUACUUAACAAAUUUAAUGACUUCCAGAAGAUACGUACCAAUCCACUGCUUAAUUUGCUUGUAAGCGGCCUUGUUAACCUCGAAGGAGACCGAUGGAGCAAGCAUAGAAAAAUCAUAACCCUUGCAUUUCAUCAAGAUAAGUUGAAGGUAUAGAAUAGUAAUGGGUACUCAAGACUUUAAAGAAAACAUCAUACUUAAGCCUAUGCUUUUCUGAUUUAGAAAUAAUUGGAUGCAGAAUAUGUUGCCAGCAUUUUAUCAAAGUUGUAGUGACAUGUUUAAGCAAAUGGGAGAAGAUGGUGUGUACAGAAGGAUACAUUGAGUUAGAUGUGUCGCCUUAUCUCGUAGAUUUGACAAGAGAUGUUAUUUCCCGAUCUGCUUUUGGAAGCAGCUUCGAAGAAGGCAAACGAAUUUUCCAAUUACUAGAGGACCAACUCGUUCUCACAAUCAAAUUAAUACAAACUGUUUACAUUCCAGGAUGGAGGUAACCGUCUACUUUAAUUUACUUGAAAAAGGUUGCAAAUGUUGGAAUUGGCUAAAUUCGUGUUUGUUUUCUUGAAGGUUUUUGCCCACAAAGACAAACAGGGAGGUGAAGAUGAAACACAAAGACAUAAAAGAGUCGCUCAGGGAAAUGAUAAAAAGAAGAAAGCAGGCAAUUAAAGCAGGGGAAGAGAGUAAUGAGGACUUGUUGGACAUACUUGUGGAAUCCAAUAUCAGAGAAAUGGAAGCAAAGAAUAUGGGGAUGAGCAUUGAGGAUGUGAUUGAGGAAUGCAAGCUGUUUUACUUAGCUGGCCAGGAGACCACUUCGGUCUUACUGGUGUGGACUAUGGUUUUAUUAGCAAGGUAUCCCGAUUGGCAAAGUAAAGCAAGAGAGGAGGUUUUGCAUGUUUUGGGUGACAGUAAACCUGAUGCUGAUGGCCUUAAUCGUCUCAAAGUUGUAAGUCCCUAGCAUGUCUCUUGAAGGCCCGAUCUCUGAGGUCGACAACUCAAAAACUUGGUUCUUUGUUUCGCUAAUUCUACAGUUAACAAUGAUAUUGUACGAGGUUCUAAGGCUGUACCCACCAGUGAUUGAGCUAGGACGUUCCGUUCCAAAAGAAAUAAAACUGGGAAAUUUGUUGUUACCAGCAGGAACAGACGUUUCGGUUCCAAUCCUGCAGAUCCACCAUGACAAAGAUCUUUGGGGCGACGCCGCACGGGAAUUUAAGCCACAGCGGUUCACGGAAGGGGUUUCCUAAGCAACAAAGAGUCAAGUCACGUUUCUGCCAUUCGGAUGGGGUCCUAGGAUCUGCAUUGGCCAAAACUUUGCCAUGAUGGAAGCUAAAAUGGCGAUGGCUAUGAUUCUCCAACGCUUCUGGUUUGAGCUUUCCCCUUCCUAUGCUUACUCUCCUUACAACAUGGCAACUCUUCGUCCACAGCAUGGUGCACAGAUAAUUUUACAUAAACUUGGCUGUAAUUGAAUUGUUAUGUAAGCAAAUCUUUGUGAAAAUAUAGUGUUUUAGUGUAUCGUCAACGUCUGUCUGUAAUGGUACAAUUCCGAUGCAUGAAUAGUAAAUUUUGAGAUGUUUGGUGAAGUCCGAAAUAAUAUGCAGAAAUUGAGUGUCUAUGGUGGACAUAGUUGAGGGACUAAUGUGGUAAUUAUCAAUCAAAUAAUUCGGUACAAAGACUUAUAUGGAAAUUAAAGCAGGGGGAGUUGAAAAUGACUACUCUGCUUUGGGCAUCAAUUUAGAAAGAUUUAAAGUACAAAUGUGUUAUUAGUUAAGGGAUUUGUUUUAAAGAGGGAAUGACAAUUAAACCUCAUGGUUGAUUUGUGGAAGGGAACCAAUGAUGGGAUGAUUACUCUUAGUGGUGAAAAAAAAACUAUUAAGGUGGUUAUUAUAGUUGUUAUCACCAGCCUAAAAUUUGAAUAGGUUCAGGUCGGAUUAUAUUGAGCUUGCAAGAUUAGUUCACGGACCAAACUUGCAUGAUAAUAGGUAUUCACAACAAGAUAUCUAUAGUUUCCAACAAAGUCACAUGUGAGAUCGUGCAUUAGAACCGCAUAAACAUGUUUUAUGUUUAGAAUAUGAUAUGUGUCUAUGUGUAUAGAAUCUACCUAAUAUAUCAUAUUAAUGAAUAGUAUCAAUUGCGGAGCCAAAAAAUUAUUUGUGAGGGGUCAGAAUUAAAUUGUAUAUUUUUACAAAAAUAAAAAUUAAAUUUCACUAUUUUAAUAGUUUAUUUAUUUUUAAUUUUUAAAUGAUUAAAUUAAAUUUUAUAAAUUUUUAGGAUCAAAGUAUAAUUUUAUCAUUACUAAUUUAAAAUUUUAUAAAUUAUAAAAAGUUUAUAUGAAAAGUUUUCUAUUUUAGGGUGGCCAAAGCCCCUGUCAACUUCUGACUCGAUCACUUGCGGUUAGUUGGGUAAAGACUCAAGAAAAAUAGCGGUGUGUUUGGAUGGACGGUGCGUUUACUUGCGGUUAGUGUAAAAAUAGCGGUGGCGGUGAGAUUAGAUACUAUAGCAACACUGUAGCGUGAGACAAAAAGUAAGUUAAACGCACUGCACUGCACUUAAUCGUCUAUCUAAACUCACCAUAAGUGUCUAAAAUAUGAUUUAAGUGAAGAUACGUGGGGUAGGUGUCAUGGAAAUGUAAAAAAAAAAAAGAAUCCUACUAAUGUAUGGGAUGUGUACAAUUGAAUGCAGGAGUGAAUCAUUUGGGUAACAUUUGGACAAGAAACAUAAUGAACAAAAUGAAAGGAGAGGAAGCUAGUAAUAAAAGAUUCUUUUGGGUUAUAUAAUUUGUUUGGCAUAUAUUUUUAUAAUAUUUAAAUAUCAUUUUGGAGUUGUUGAAUUAUAAUUUAUUUUUAUGUUUUAAAACAUAAUUAUUCUAUUUUUAGAGGUCAGAGUAGAGGUGAGCAUGAGUCGGGCUACUCGGCUCGGGCUGAAGGCUUGCGCAAAAUGUGAGAGAUUUGGGUAAAAAUAUAGGCCCGAAAAAUGAGUUUAGACAAAAAAAAAUAUAAGGCCCGUUGAAAAAACAGGCUAGGCCUUGGGUAAGGCAUUUUGGCCCCAGACCCGGCCCAACCCAAAUUCACUAAGGGCACGUUUGGUUCGCUGUAUUGGAAUAGAGGCGUAAUGUAAUAGAGGCGUAAUGGAAUAGAGACGUAAUAGCAAAUCAAUUGUUUGGUUGAAUGUAAUGGAAUAGAGGCGUAAUAGUAUUCUUAUAUUUGGUUGAAUGGAAUAGAGUUGUAAUAGCAUAAGGAAAAAAGUUAAAAUGACUAGAAUACCCUUAGCAGAAAUUUGUUUAGAUAAAUGAUUAUUGUUAUUGUUAUUAAAUUUUAAUAAGAUUAUUAAUAUCAGUAAUAAAUAAUUUAAUCAUAUUUUAACAUAAUUAUUAUUAAAUAUAAUUUAAUAAAAAUAUAUAAUUUAAUAAAAUUCUUAAUAUUAAAUAUUCUUAAUAUUAAAUUACUAAAAUCAUAAUAUAUAAUACUAUAAAAUAUAAUUUAACAUAAUUAUUAUUAAAUAUAAUUUAAUAAAAUUCUCAAUAUUAAAUAUAUUCUUAUAUGAAUUUACUAAAAUCAUAAUAUAUAAUACUAUAAAAUAUAAUUUAAAAUAAUUAUUAUUAAAUAUAAUUUAAUAAAAAUAUAUAAUUUAAUCUAAAGUUUGAAUGUGUAUUUACCUAGCAAAAAUCAAUGAACUCUCGUGUAACUAUAACCUUAAUAAUAUAUGAUGUAUAAUUAAUAUUUCGUGACUAAUUAAUAGCAUAGAGAUAAAUAUAGUAAUGACGAAUUUAUAGUAUACGAUUAAAAUGCUAAUAAUUUAUAGUAUACAAUUAAAAUAUUAUAAAUAAAAUAAUAGUAAAUGAUAUAUAAGAUAAAUUAACAUAUAAAUAAUUCAGAUAUGUAAAGGAUAUGGCUGAAUAUGGUUGCUCCAAUAAUAAAGGAUAUAUAAUAUAUCAUGGUGUUGUUUUGUUUAGAUAGUUCGGUAACUUAGGAGGGUAUGUAUGAAGAACACAAGUUGAUGCAGAUAGAAAGACGACAAUAUUACAUGAUUACAAUAUGAUAUAGUAUAUAUAUAUAAUUUAUGGAUUCCUUGCAAUCACGUGGGUUCUCUAGCCAUUUUAUUUAGCAUAUCCAGUGAUAUUAAGAUCCAGAAUUAUAAUACAACUAAAAUCUGUGCACACUUAUGGAUGAUCCAACAAAGCCUCAGUUGGCUUUAGGUUCCAAAUCUUGCAACCCACAAACCAUAUUUGCUGGCACUGCAACAUCAAUCAUCUUAGGAUAUGCCAAGUUAAGAUCUGUUGCACCAACAAAAACAGAGGAGAAAUUGGAAGGCGAUCCGAAAAAACCCAAGGAUGCUUUUUCUUUUCUUUUUUUUUUAUAAUCUUUAUAGACUGGUUAUAUUGAGCAUCAACUUACUUUCCAUGAUGUUUUUGAAAGUCUCUUACAAAAAGGGUAUUCAACAAAUAAUAUAAUCAGACAUAUUGAUAGGACAAAUUGAAACUAGUAUUCUAUGAUCAUAAUAAAGAGUAAUCUUUAAUCAAAUGCGUGAAGGUAUUGAGAUGUCAUGCUUUUUCAUGAUUUCCUGUUUUACCAUGGCGAUGUUCAUUGGAAUAGUCCCAUCCAAGAGAAUCAAACCAAUGCUCAGCAAGAAAUGUUCAAUGCAUAUGUAAUUUUAAUUACAGAAGUUAUAUGCAGCUUAUAUGAGUUCAAGAUCAUAAAAUACUUCAUGGACAAAAGGAAACCCUUUCUUAUCACUGAAAUGAAAAUAGGCACUCUUAAUUUUCUAUUGUCAAAAGUAGCAAGCCAUUUUCCAAAGAAAAGGGAAGAUGGAUGGUUCCAGAAAGAAUACCUCAUCCUUUGUCAAGUGUGGAUUAUAUAGCAUCUCCUCUCCCACAGUGGUUACCUAUAAUCAAUGAGGUUUAUAAAAUCGAGCAAUCAUUUAUAUAUGUAAGAAAUGAUAGGAAUAAAGUUUUAUAUCUUACUGAGAAUCCUUUGUAGUCAUGAGCUGGAUAUAGCAAUGUCUCUUUCGGUAAUGUAAAAAUCUGGAUCCAUGAAACAAAUAAGUCCAUAAAUUUUAUUCAAAUUUUGACAAUUACAAUAAAAUUUUGAGAACUCAAAGAAUGUGACCAUAAAAAGUCCCCUGUCCUUACCUGUGAAUGCACUGACUUGUAGAGUUGCUGUGAACUUCCACCCUGCAAAAUGCAUUAAUCAGUGCUAGUCAAUGGCUACUGAAUGUGGGAGCAUUAGAGAAAAUUAUCUUAAAAACUUAAGUAUAACAAAAUUAGACAAUGACAUCCAGAUGGAAAGAAAUUGCCAGCAUAUAAGACCAGCAUUUAUGUACUCACGACUGAAAAUCCUUUGCAAAAAGUAUAGCCCUGAUAGUUCAAACUUUUACUUCAAGGAUGAUUUAAUUACUGAUUAGUUUGCCAUGAGGCUUGUGAAUGACAAACACUUUAUGUGCAACCACAGUAACAAGGUAAGCACCAAUAAGUAGAAGACUAGACGAAUAGGUAACCAAGAGUUAGAGCUAAAACAGACAAACAGAGCUACUAUCCAAUGAGCUAAAACAUACAAACAGAGGUAUAUUUUAAUAAUGAAAAUAAUCGAUUGCCUUAAACACCAUAUAGUGUUCCAAUCAAUCAAAUUAUAGCAGGCAUUAAAACCUUUCCCUUUCGUUAAUUCACAACUAUUAGCUUCAUUAAUCAAAUCCUAUGUACAGUUGAUCGAUUGAAAGUGUAACAUUUCAAAGACGAAAUUUAAACGCAAAACUGGUUAACAUUGAAAUUACAUGUAAAUAUAACCUAAAAAAUCAAAAAAUUAAUCAUAUUUUCAGAUUUCAGGCCGAAAUGGAAUGAAAUGAAAGGUAAAUCCAUUUUUUCCCCAAAAAAACAAAAAUAAAGAAAUAAUAUUUCAAGAACAGAUCAUUAAAUUCAUGGUAUAUAUAAAGAAAUUUAAUUGAAAUCAAAGGAAUAGAAGAAGGGAAAAGCGUACUUGGAACCAUUGCUGCUACUCUCUGUUACUCUGUUACCUCAUACGAUUCGUUAAAGGGUUGUUAGGGUUUGUUAAAAGGUUGGUCAGGAUAGAAGCAUGAAAAGGAGGGAGAAGGUUGGAAGGAAAUGGGAAGAAAAAUGAAAAAAAGAAGAAGAUGCUGCAACGGCUUGGAGGGUAAAAGAGGACCGAUUAGGUAAUCCUUUCUUUUGGAAGGGAUUACAAAUCGGCGCUGCAUAAGGGAAAAUGGGGAAUCAGUGCGCUGCGUAAUAGGCCCGUAUUAAGGCAAUACAGCCAACCAAACAUGGUAAUCAGUGGGGCCACGAAUUAGGGGUGUAUUGGCUAAUCCAAUACACCCAACCAAACAUGCUCUAAAGGACAAAAAAAUUUGAUUUUUUAAAUAUUAUUUUCUCUCUAUUUUGCUAUCAUUUUACUAUUAUGUUGCUACUAUGUUAUUGUUAUUUUUGAAUAUUGUAUAAAACUUAUUUUAUUGUUAAUUUUGUUAUUAUUUUAAAGACAUUUGUUAAUUUUGUUAUUAUUUUAGAGACAUUUGUUUGUUAAGUUGCAUCUAUCUUAGUGUUAUUUAAGUAUACAUAUUUUUUAAAAUUUAUUUUCAAUUUAUUGGGAAAUAUUUAUUUUGAUGUUUUUAGUAUUUUGGAUGUAUUAUAUAUAUUAAAAUUAUAUAAAAAUUAAUAUGGCCGAGCCAGGUCAGGCCCAGAUUUUAGCAUUUUUAUUCAGGUCGGGCUUGAGCAAAAUUUUAAGCCCAUUUUUUGGGCCAAACCAGGCCUGGGCUUAGCAAAUGGGCCUAAAUUUUUAGUCAAGCUCGACCUAAACCCGAUCCGGCCCAUGCUCACCUCUAGAUCAGAGCUGCCCUCGCUUUGCAUUUCUUUGAGAUUCAGUCUUAUCUACUGUUGAUUGCCCACUCAAUGGAGGGUUGAGUAGAAAGAUUUGGUGAAGCAAGCUAAGCUAUCAAUCAAGGUUGGAGAAAGCUUAGGAGGUCACAAUGCAUAAUUAUUUAAAUGUAAUUCUAAUAUUUAAAUAAAAUUUAUUAAUAUAGUAUUAACAAGCCCUAAAUGUAAUGAUUAUAUACUAUUACAUUUUUAAGAAGAGAAAACAUGUUUGAACCUUAAAAACAUCAUUAUUAAAAAUGAUAAUUACAAAUUUUAAAAUAUAAAAAAUAUAAUUAAAAAUUAAUUUUAAACCCGAGCUGGAUAAAAUUCUAAUUUUAGAUAACGAUACUAAUAAGAAAUCAAUAUUAAAAUGAAAAUGAAAAGUAAUUUAAUAUAAUUUUUGAGUCUUGGGCAAAGGCACUCAAUGAAUGCUUGGAAAGAAAUAAUGCAACUUGGUGAUAGCUUUUGUUGGAGUAAUAUGCUCUUAUUAUAGUUUUAUGUUUUUAUCUUGCAAAAACAACAUAUUGGAGUUUUCGGCAUGAUUUUUUCUUAAUACUUUACAUGAAAAAUAAUAAUGGGACUUAAAUUGCUACAAUAUUACAACACAAAGUUACAAUAAGAGCUUAUAACUCAACAAAGGCUAUCAAUAAAUAAUCUCAGGCAAGCUAAAGAGAAAUGUUGAGAAUACCACCCGAAUAGUGACUGACUUUAAAAGUUGAAAACCCGAAGCUAUAUUAUCUCAAACGAAAUCAAACCAUAAACAUUAAAAUUUUCAAGUCUACUAGUUACUGUAAAAAAUUCAGCUCCAACAGACACCAAAUGAGCCUUUGAUCGAAGAAAGUACGAAAAAUAGUCUAGGUAAACCAAGCUUCCAAACUUACUUAUCUUAUCUUUAAUUUGCAGUGAAAUUCAAAAUUAAGAUUUUGUUUAUUUCACUUGGAACAACUUUCAAAAAAUUAUUUUUGAAAAAUGAAUUGGUUUUUCGAAAUAGAUGAUAUUUUAUUGUGUCAAAAUUUUAUUCAUUGUAGGAAAACUUUUUUUAAAUCAUUUUCUUAGAGUUAUUUUUAGUUAAAUAAACAUAACAUAAAUAUAUUUGUUACAAAAAAUUAUACUAGUAUUUUCUUUUGACAAUUAAAAUUUAUUUUAUGGUAAGACAAUAUUUUAUAAUAAUUAAUAUCAUAUAUAUACGUAAUAAAAAUCAUGUUUAAUUAAAAUUUAAUUAAAAUUAGAUGUAUUAAUAAAGCUACUCCUCCACAACCCGCAUCCGCAACAGCACCAGCACCAGCACCAGCACCAGCAUCAGCACCAUGGGACAACUAUUGGGUUUCCUCCACCUGCCUCUAUCGCUCCUCCUCAGUAUUACCCCCAAGCCUACCAGACCGUGCCGGGUAUUCUACAAAUAUGAAAAAACCUUCUUCUCUUUUUAUUAGCUUAUCGAAAUGAAGGAUUUUGAGAUUUGGGCUUUUGUUAGAUGGAUGGUUAAUGAUAUUUUUUAGAUGAAAGAUACAAGUUUUUUAAUGUUUUAGAAGAAAAGGUGUUUAAAUAUUAGGAGUUUUUUAGCAGAGAAAGAAGAUAAAUAAAUGCAUAGAGAUACAUUAGCAAUAUUAUUUGGAUUUGGUUGUCUAAUGUAAUGAAGAAUUUUUUAAGGGUGACCUGAGUAGGUGUGGCAAGAUUCAAAGUUUUUUCUAUUAUAGCAGAUAUAUAUAUAUUAAUGGUUUAAGAAGACUAGAAGUCGGUUUCAAAGGAAGAUGAGAAAUAAAAGCAUUUAUAUAUAUGAUAUGUCAUUAAUUCAUAAACCAAAUAUAUAAAGUAUGUAAAAGUGUCAGGGGUUAAUCAUGGUGUUUUGACAAUCCGGUAACCUUCAACUUGAAGAAAACCUUAGGUUUCAAAAAUUUAUGUGAAGAGUUAGAAUGGUAUGCUUCAUGGAUCUGAAUAACUAGAACAGUGUAAGAGUGGUAUAUUGUGUCAAGUUUGGUUUCUUGUAUAUAAUUGUAUCGAAAACAAUGUUACAUGAGUUAAAAUGAAUGUUCAUCCAAUUUAACAAAGCCUGCAUUAUGUUGAUCAAAAUUUUUAAUUCAUGUUGAGGUUUCUUCCGUGAUAUCUUUGAUGUCAAGGUUAUGAUGUUGCUGAAGGGACACCUGUAAGAGAUAAGCCACCGUGCUGUGGCAUUGGAUUCGGAUGGUUCUUGUAAGUGUACAUAGUUUUCUUUGUUUUUAAAGAGUUCUUUACAUAUGAAGUAAAACAAGUAGCGACUUGAUGGAUAUGUCAUUAAGCUUUAACUUAAGCAAAUCAUUUUCCUUCAUCUCUAAUUGCCAUUUCUUUAAAAGAAAAAGAGGAAGUUUUGUAGUUUACAGUUUGGACAAAUGGAAGUUAAUAUAAUGCACUAUUUGGAUGGACUAUGGAGAUAUCCAAUCAUAUUGGAUGAGUUAUAAGAAACCUGUGAGUUCAUAUUGGGUUUACUUUAUAUCAUAAUUAGAUUGUUGAGCUGGCUGUCAUACUUAGAUGGUAUUUCACGUUGCUACUUGUUAAACUAUACCACUUUCACAUUCAUACGUGAAAUGGCUGGGAUUUAGUGCCAUUCUACUUAGCAGCCUCGUGUAAUACACAGGUGAAAUGUUUAUGUCUUCAUGUCACCUUAAAGUUCCCAUUUCCAUGACGGUAUUGUUAAGUAAAGACUGGUACAUACCCCAAAAUACGGAAAUUGUUUUGGAUGUAUACUAUACUUUACCAUGCAUGAUUUUUUACAAGUUUGCAUGGUAUUUUAUCAUUAUAUUGGUCUUUAUUUUCUAUACUCGCAGCUUCCAUUAAUAUAUUUUUAUGAAUUUUAUCAUUAUGCUGGUUUGAAGGUUCAUCAUUGGUUUCUUCAUUGGGGGCCAUCCCUGGUAUAUUGGAUUCUUUGUUUUACUUUGUGCAAGGAUAGACGACAGAGAGAAAGCAGGAUAUAUUGCAUGCACAAUUGCCGUGAGUAUCUUUUCUAUCAUUAUUUUUUUCUUUUCCAAUUUUAUGAAAGCCAUCCUUCCUGCCUUGUAUUGAUCAUCAAUUUAACCAUUAUAUAUAUGUAUCUUAUGUAUUUGUACCAUGCUUUAUCUUCAAUGCAAAUAUAAGUUAAACUACAAAGAUUGGAUUGUUAAAAAAAGUUUAAAAUGUUAAAAAAAUUGAAAAUUUUGAUUUUGUAAGAAUGAUAGAAAACCAAGGCCAGUGCUUGCAUAUGUUAUCUACUACAUGCACAAUCGGGUCGAUGUCUGUAUAUGUUUCAUGUUUAGAAAUCGUGUUCAAUUGGGUUACGAUAUGUACAAUUGAAGUGUCAAUUUAUAAUUUCCUUAUCAAGAUUACACAUUUUUUUGUUAAUAUUCGGAAUCACUCAAUGGUUAUAAACCCUGAUUGGAUACUGUCCACAAAGUCUAGUUGGAACAUCCCUUGUAUUCUUUGUCCUUUCUAAGAACUUUCCUUUCCAUCAUUCUCGCUUCUGUUUUUUUUUUCUUCCCUCUACUUUAAGUCAUUAUCUAACGUAGAUAUCCCUUGUAUUCUUUGUCCUUUCUAUGGCAAUCGAGUCAAUUGAUGGCAAGCCAAAAAAACAAAAAGAGCAGCUAUCCUGUCUUACUCGAUUGCCAUCCCUCCUGUUAAACACCAUUAAGAAAAGGAAAAUUUUAGUUAAGCUUUAAAACAGCCAUGUUUUAACGAUGUUGGUGAUGGUGCUUGUGCAGGCCCUUCUUGCUACAAUUACAAUUAUUCUUAGUGCAACAAUUAAAGCUGGUGGGUGAUAAAGCACACCUCUUUUGACUGAGAGAUGUAUAGGUUCCCAAAUAAUAUGUAUAUGCUCCCCCCCCUCCCUUUAUUUUAUUUUAUUUCCAGUAAGUUAUUGUUUAUGAUAAUUUGCAACAAAUGUUUUUGUCAUUAUUUUGUUGGUGAAUGAUAAUAAGAUUAAGCUUUACUUUCUUAAGCUCCAAUUCCUUGGACGUUGGUGAUUUUUUUAUUAUAGUUGAGUCAUUGUAUGGUAUUAAUAUAAUUUAUGUCGCUUAAAAUUUAUAACUAAAAAUAUAAAAUUUAAAUUUUACUUCAAUUUAUUUGUAUUUAUAAAUGGUUAAUUCAAACUUAUUUUUUUCCUCAUUAUAUUUUAUAUUUAAAUUAACAUUUAAACUAUUUUUCAUUAGCAAUGUUGUUAAGAAUUAUAUUUUUUAGCACCAACAUCAAACUUACUAAAAUUAAAUUUUUAACUAUUUAAAAAAAAUAUUUUUAGCUAUUUAUCAUCAUAGAGAAAAAAAGGUGACGUCACCACGCCUCAUGCUUCGACACCACAAACUAGACUCUCAUCACCCGUAUUUAUCAUCGAUUCAAAUUCCAGAACUACCUAAAAAUAUAUCUUCAAACUUCCUCUGGUUAAGUUCAUUGAUAGUCAACUUACUAUCAUUUCUAAAAAAAAAACAAAUAAAUUGGUUAAUAGUAAUCUCAAUGAUUCAAUUUUAUUCUUACCAGUAUCUGUCCUUUAGAAAGGGGCUUAUAAAAGGGGUAGAGGUGAGUAAACUUGAGCUUCAGCUUUCCACAAACACCUUAAUUUGAAGACACAGUUCUCUCAUACUAAAAAAGACAUGGAAGUUUACCUUGUAAUUAGAGAUUUGGUUUCAUUGCUUGUUGUUGGGUUAUUAAUGAUAUGGGGAUGCAGAACUUUAAACUGGGUAUGGCUGGCCCCAAAAAGGCUCGAAAGCUGCUUGAGACAACAGGGUUUUGCAGGGAAUCCUUACAGGUUCCUUUCUGGUGACAUAAAAGAGCUCUCAACUAUGAGCAGACAAACAAGAGCCAAACCUAUGCCUCUUAGUGAUGAUAUUGGGCCUUAUGUUGUUCCUUUUCAACAUCAAACUGCUAACCAGUAUGGUAUGUUUUUUUUGUUUAAUCUGCAAUUUAUGAUAAUUCUUUGUUAUUUAUGUAUGGAAUUUAUUGGGAGGAAAUGCAGGAAAGAAUUCAUUUACGUGGUUUGGUCCAAGACCAAGGGUGAACAUUACGGACCCUGAAAAAAUAAGAGAAAUACUUAACAAAUUUAAUGACUUCCAGAAGAUACAUACCAAUCCACUGCUUAAUUUGCUUGUAAGCGGCCUUGCUAACCUCGACGGAGACCGAUGGAGCAAGCGUAGAAAAAUCAUAAACCCUGCAUUUCAUCAAGAUAAGUUGAAGGUAUAGAAUAGUGAUGGGUAAUCAGACUUUACAGAAAACAUCAUACUUAAACCUAUGCUUUUCUGAUUUAGAAAUAAUUGGAUGCAGAAUAUGUUGCCAGCAUUUUAUCAAAGUUGUAGUGACAUGUUAAGCAAAUGGGAGAAGAUGGUGUGUACAAAAGGAUACAGUGAGUUAGAUGUGUGGCCUUAUCUCGUAGAUUUGACAAGAGAUGUGAUUUCCCGAUCUGCUUUUGGAAGCAGCUUCGAAGAAGGCAAACGAAUUUUCCAAUUACUAGAGGACCAACUCGUUCACAUAAUCAAAUUAAUACAAACUGUUUACAUUCCAGGAUGGAGGUAACCGUCAACUUAAUUUACUUGAAAAAGGUUGCAAAUGUUGGAAUUCGCUAAAUUCGUGUUUGUUUUCUUGAAGGUUUUUGCCAACGAAGACAAACAGGGAGAUGAAGAUGAAACACAGGGACAUAAAAGAGUUGCUUAUGGAAAUGAUAAAGAGAAGGGAGAAGGCAAUUAAAGCAGGGGAAGAGAGCAAUGAGGACUUGUUGGACAUACUUGUGGAAUCCAAUAUCAGAGAAAUGGAAGCAAAGAAUAUUGGGAUGAGCAUUGAGGAUGUGAUUGAGGAAUGCAAGCUGUUUUACUUAGCUGGCCAAGAGACCACUUCGGUCUUACUGGUGUGGACUAUGGUUUUAUUAGCAAGGUAUCCCGAUUGGCAAAGUAAAGCAAGAGAGGAGGUUUUGCAUGUUUUGGGUGACAGUAAACCUGACGCUGAUGGCCUUAAUCGUCUCAAAGUUGUAAGUCCCUAGCAUGUCUUUUGAAGGUCCGAUCAAUGAGGUCGACAACUCAAAAACUUUGUUUCUUUUUUCGCUAAUUCUACAGGUAACAAUGAUAUUGUACGAGGUUCUAAGGCUGUACCCACCGGUGGUUGAGCUAGAACGUUCCGUUCCAAAAGAAAUAAAACUGGGGAAUUUGUUGUUACCAGUAGGAACAGAAGUUUCGGUUCCGAUCCUGCUGAUCCACCAUGACAAAGAUCUUUGGGGCGAUGACGCACGGGAAUUUAAGCCAGAGCGGUUCGCGGAAGGGGUUUCCAAAGCAACAAAGAGUCAAGUCACGUUUCUGCCAUUCGGAUGGGGUCCUAGGAUCUGUAUUGGCCAAAAUUUUGCUAUGAUGGAAGCCAAAAUGGCGAUGGCUAUGAUUCUCCAACGCUUCUGGUUCGAGCUUUCCCCUUCCUAUGCUCACUCUCCUUACGGCAGGGCAACUCUUCGUCCACAGCAUGGUGCACAGAUAAUUUUACAUAAACUUGG
rnacentral:lncRNA from 1 species